rnacentral:rRNA from 1 species
AUUAAAGAUUUAUCGGUGAUGGAUGGGGAUGCGUCUGAUUAGCUUGUUGGCGGGGUAACGGCCCACCAAGGCGACGAUCAGUAGGGGUUCUGAGAGGAACGGUCCCCCACAUUGGAACUGAGACACGGUCCAAACUCCUACGGGAGGCAGCAGUGAGGAAUAUUGGUCAAUGGACGAGAGUCUGAACCAGCCAAGUAGCGUGCAGGAUGACGGCCCUAUGGGUUGUAAACUGCUUUUAUAAGGGAAUAAAGUGGGAGUCGUGACUCUUUUUGCAUGUACCUUAUGAAUAAGGACCGGCUAAUUCCGUG